UACAGAGGUCCCAAGCGUUGUUCGGAUUCACUGGGCGUAAAGGGUGCGUAGGUGGUGGGGUAAGUUUGAUGUGAAAGCUCCGGGCUUAACCCGGAAAUGGCAUUGAAUACUAUCUCGCUUGAGGGUUGGAGGGGAGACUGGAAUUCCUGGUGUAGCAGUGAAAUGCGUAGAUAUCAGGAGGAAUACCGAUGGCGAAGGCAGGUCUCUGGGCUGACACUGACGCUCAUGCACGAAAGCGUGGGGAGCAAACAGG
rnacentral:rRNA from 1 species